ACUGGCUUCAAAAGGUGAAGAGAGGAGAUACUUCACGGAAGUUGUGGGCCUUUUAGAUAAGCAAGUACAAGAAAUGAAGUUAAUGACAAAUGCCAUAAGAAGAUUGGAAGGCUAGGGUUGAUUUAUGAUUUGCCAAUAGCGUUGCAAAUUUGUCAAAGAAUGCAUGUGGUGUAAUCGAGGAACUUGUAUAUUUACGACCCCUAAAAAGCCAAUGAAAUGGCUCAUGGUGACCAAGAGCUUUGACAAAUAUUAUGUACAUUUUAACUAUUCUAAUAGGAUUUCUAGCAUCAUGAUUCCCUUGAGUUCAAUUCAUCCAAAUAUAGGAAGCUUAUUGAUAAAUUUUGAUGGCUUAUCAUGUCCAAAGUUUUAGCAGAUUUAUGUUGGAAGUUUUAAACAAUUAUUCAGUUUUAUUUUUAUUUUAAGUUCUUAUUAUAUCCAAUUCUGCUAAAUUGUGGACAAAAUUAUACCUCCUAACAGAACUUCUG